GUACAAGCUAUAUAAUUUUCUUUCAGCCGAUCACUGACGACUUAAAUCAAUGAUGUCUAUGGCCUGCGCUGAACAUCAUCACCACCAAGCAAGCAGUUAUUAAUUUUGUGUUUUUCUUUCAUCAUGCAAGUUAAAUUGUGUUUUUAUCCGAUGUUGUAAAAUGUAUGCCUUGUUAUAUUGUUUUGCACUUUAUUCAGGGCAUGAGGUGGGCACAUGACCAAUAUAUUCAUAGUUGGACAGUAUUUCCCAUCCCAUGCAUGAAGCUAGUAAAGACAUGGAGAGACACAGUCUUCACUAUAUUUGCCAGGUCAUCAUAAAGCUCCCACACACAUGGAGCUCUUGCAAUGUAAUGUCCCAGACCAUCUUUAGUCAAGCUUCCCUUGAAAGUGAUGACUCCUCUCAAAGAGAAUGUCUUUCCUUGGAGAGCAACAGUGGGGGGAAAUUCACUCAAAGGAAACUGAGUUGUGUUUGCAAGUGGGCGAAGGCAGGGAGACUCCGGAAGGAAGAGUCCAUUUUCCACUGAAAUGUCAAGCUGAGCCAUGCCAGAGUCCAUCAGCACAGAAAUGUCAGGAGAAACAAAUGAUGGAUCUGCAUGGAGCCAUUCAGUGCUCUUCCUUUUUUUGGGUGGAAGAAUUAGUCCCCUCCAGUUUUCAACCACGUCUUCAUCUGUUGGAGGAAUGUUUGUGGUUUCAUCGGAUUCUACAGAAUGAACAAAUCCGCAUAUUUCCUUCAAUAAAGGAAAGAUGACGAGAAAUAAAGCGAUCAACUCGAAUGGGUAAGUUCUCGUGUUUAAAAAGGCCAUGCUUUACAUUUUUGAAUUCUGCUUCAACAGUGGCUGAGCUUGCUGUGAGGUUGGUGCUUUUGAAGAGGGGGACCAUUACUCCUGUCCAAAGUGCCGCGUAGAUAUUUUUUGCACAUCUCUGAUUCGAGAGGGACUCCAGAACUAUCAUCACCCUCUGCCUCACUGAGGGCCACAACAGUGAUGGCAUGUAUUAGCUGUUUUGCAUGGUCCAAGCACUGUGAUUGAAGAAGCUUUGCUAUU